rnacentral:rRNA from 1 species
GAUGAACGCUGGCGGCGUGCCUAAUACAUGCAAGUCGAGCGAACAGACGAGGAGCUUGCUCCUCUGACGUUAGCGGCGGACGGGUGAGUAACACGUGGAUAACCUACCUAUAAGACUGGGAUAACUUCGGGAAGCCGGAGCUAAUACCGGAUAAUAUAUUGAACCGCAUGGUUCAAUAGUGAAAGACGGUUUUGCUGUCACUUAUAGAUGGAUCCGCGCCGCAUUAGCUAGUUGGUAAGGUAACGGCUUACCAAGGCGACGAUGCGUAGCCGACCUGAGAGAGUGAUCGGCCCCACUGGAACUGAGGCACGGUCCAGACUCCUACAGGACGCAGCAGUAGGGAAUCUUCCUCACUGGGCGAAAGCCUGACGGAGCAUCGCCGCGUGAGUGCUGAUGGUCUUCGGAUCGUAAAACUCUGUUAUUAGGGAAGAACAAAUGUGUAAGUAACUAUGCACGUCUUGACGGUACCUAGUCAGACAGCCACGGCUAACUACGUG